CAGUCAGAGCCUCAUUGUUUGCAAUGGUGAAGAUGUGGAGGGAGGAGGGGUAGGAUGACCAUAGAGCAGCAAAAUGAUUUGCCGGAUUAUUGCAAAGUGAGUUCCCUGCCUUUUUGGGAGAGUGUUGCUGCUUCAGUUUUCUUGCUGCGUUCUGUCCCUGCAGAUGUGCUCCGGAACGUUCUAGACAGCACCUCUGGAAUUCUGCUCCCAGAUGUGGCGUGGCAGGGGACCACAGCGGGGUGCCUGUAGCUGUUAGGCACGGGUUCAAGCUUUGUUUUAAAGUGUGUUUUCAAGCACAUUCUUGAAGCAUGCGGCUAAGCGACCAACAUCUUUUGCUGUUAUAACUCUUACAGUAAAUAUCUCAGGAGGUCAGUAGUUGGUCCCCACAGUAAAACCACAGCACUGUGUAACACAGCACAGCGAAGCAUAGCGAGAGGUAUGGUAAAGAUGCACUGUCUGUCUAUAUUUCUGUCUGUCUGCCUGCCAGUCUCUCUGUCUGUCUGUCUGUAAUGCUUUGCUUCAAUGUGCUUCCAUGGUAAAGCACAUUAAAAAAAAUAAAAUAAAAUGCACAGCAUAACCAUCGGAAAAGGGAUGGGAAACCUGCUAAAUUACCGUGGAAAUGUAUUGUGGUAACCCCCCCCCCUCUCCCUGUCACACAGCCCCCUCCCCAGUAUAUCCUCCAUAGUGUUUCUCCAGGAUGUCGAGCGGAGGUUCUGGUUCUGUCCCUGGGCCUGGCUCGUCUCGCGCACCUCGUGGCCCGGUUCCCCCCGGCUCGGAGCAGGUGGCGUUCCUAGAGGAGUGGAAAGCGAAGCGGGAGCGCCUGAGACUGCGAUCCAGCGGGAACGGAACAGGACUGCCAUGCCCCAGCCAGCCUGCAGGGGGAGAAGGCGCCGGGGCAGCCCCCAGUAAGAACCCAGCAGCCAGGCCAGCGACGCAGACAUGCCAGCCUCCCCCCAGCAUCGCUCCCAGAGCAGGCAUAGCCACGACCCCUGCAAGAGAGGAGUCGGCCAAGGAGGAGCGCAUUCACAAAGAGGGGGCGGGGUUGGCUAGCCCCUCCCCUCGCGGAAAGGAACAGAAGGGCGGGGCCUCCGCCCAUCGCAAGAAUAAGACGCAGGUGGAGAAGAGGAAGCUGAGGGAGAAGAGAAGAUCUACCGGGGUGGUGAACCUGCCCCUGGCCACUGAGAGCCCUGAUGAAGGAGAGGGGGGCGCUGCCAGCGAGAAGCAGGGACAUCCAGACCUCCCGAAAUCGAACCUUGCGGAUGCUCCGAGAGUGGCACUCACACGGCAGAAGAGCUGGACAGGAGUCCAGGACCCCCAACCCCACCCCCCUCUGAGCCACAAGCAGAGCGGCGGACCGGGCAAGCCGGGCCCCGAGAGAGAGACCCCCCCGCUGGAGAGGAGGCUGCAUGAGCUGGAGAAGGUGGUGAGUGGAGAGAAGCAAGUGAAUCAGAGGCUGAGCCGACAACUGCAGGAGAAGGAGGGUCUGAUCCUGAAACUGCAGGCUGAGAUCGGACACAUGAGCGAGGACCUUGACGGGCUUGAGCAGGAGAACCACACGCUGCGGGAGGAGAACCAGACGCUGCUCAGAGUGGUCGGUCAGCUGACCAGCAGUUAGCCCCGCCCCCUCCCGCAGGCCGGGGCUGUGCUGACCACUGCACUGACGCUCGCUGGACUGGACUGAGGGAGGGGCCCCUGGCAGCGAUGACCCGAGGCAGUCAUGUGACACGCUCACCACGGCGCACCUGCUCUGUGUACCCACAGCCACAGGAAGCAGCCCCUCGGAAAGCGCAGCGUGUUCCGGACCGGGCUGGACUGCGGGACUGGACCCAGGAGAUCGAAGCAAGGCUUUCUAAUCCAGUCUCUUAACUCUUAUUGCUGCAGAGCACCCCUUUAAAGGAGUAAUGCCCUGCUGUGUCAGUGCUCCCCUGGGAGGUCCUGCUGUUGUUUCCAUGAUGGAGUCGAUACUGAGACAGCUGGCUUUCAUCACACGUGGCAUGUAUCCUGGGAGGGCUGAAGAACUUAAAAUCCAAAAAAAACAAAGCACUGGAACAGCUACGUCAUUGCCAUUCCGCUAAGCAAGGCUGUCCACCCAUGUGUGUGUCAUUGAGGCCAGAGGCCUCCAGCCCCACUCCUGGAGGGCCUGCGUCCCUUCUGGUCUUUGUUCCAACUGGACCCUAAAUUAAAUAAUUGGACCAAUUAAGCUUCUAAUAAGCACUUAAUUGUUCCAAUUAAGUAAUUUAGGGUACAGUUGGAACAAAAACCAGGAGGGACACCGGCAGGAUUGGAGACCCUUGUUCUAGAU